AUACUUACCUGGCAAGGGAUAUACCAUGAUCAGGAAGGUGGUUUUCCCAGGGCGAGGCUUAUCCAUUGCACUUGGGAUGUGCUGACUCCUGCGAUUUUCCCAAAUGUGGGGAACUCGACUGCAUAAUUUGUGGUAGUGGGGGACUGCGUUCGCGCUUUCCCCCU